CUCUGUCUCUGUCGUCUCUCUCGCUGGCUUUUUAAAAAUGAGGAACCGCUCCUUGAAUGUUCUGGACAGAGCACAGAAUUGCUUCUUAAGUCAGCCCGGCGCGGUUGCAAUAGACAGCAAAAAGGUAAACGUUUGCCUGAAAUCCGCACGCCAGCUCCACCGCCCCGCCCGAUGGUCCCAGUUCCUCUGGGAAUCGUCCUGUAUGCAACAUCUUCACAAGAGUGGCAGGCAGUUGAAUCUCUGGCCUUCGUGGGACCACUGGACAUCUGGCAGAGAACCAGGAAACCACGGUUCCCUUCUGUGAGUCCCUCAGCCGGAAAACUACAAGCUCCUCAUGCAGCUGCUGUCUACAGACCCCCUGGACUGCCUGGGGAAGUGAGUCGGAGCUCCUGCAGCAGAGGGGUGGAACAGCUACACGAAGAUCCGAAGGUGGCCAAAAAUAACAGCGCUUUCCAGAUGAGGAUCCAAAUCCUGUCUUCACUGGCUUCAAGAAUCCUGUCUUCACUGGCUUCAAAACUGGGAUGAAGGAGGCUCCUUAGUGGAGAGCAAAGCAAAGAGGUAUUUGACACAGGGAUAAAGGGAUUGAUAGAAGUCAGGGACUGUCUCCAGGGAGAAGUGAUCUUUGAGCUGAAUCUAGAUUGGUGGUCAGGAUUGAGUUACUCAGAUGGACAUACGUGACAUGGUUUAAGAGUGGGCUGAGGGAAUAGCAGUGCAAAGGCCUGAAGAGAUGUUUAGUGAAAAGGCUCAACCAAAUCUCUGGACAUACAAAACCAACUAAUGGACUGUGAGAAGAGUGGUAAUCCCCCAGCCCUCGAAUUUCAAUUAUGUAGAUAAUUGCUU
rnacentral:lncRNA from 1 species